GGCGGAGCUCGCUGACAGGGCCUGCGCGCGGGCGGACGGCGGACGGGACGCGGGACGUGAGGAUGAAAGAAGAUGUUAUAUUUCCGUCCGAGACGUUGCGAAUCGCUCGGGGACGCCCUCUGAACUUCUCCCUCCGCCCACCUGUGCACGGGAUGGCCCCGAGCCCCCGCUGCGCAGCUUCUCUGACAAACGGUCUUUGGAGAACAGACGAUCUCAGCCCCUCACGUCACCGCACGGAUGAUGGUUCUGGAAAGAGGCCGGAAGAGGGGCUGGCACCGAGGGGGCCCUGAGUCCAUGCUUGUUGGCUGGGACACCUUUGAAGGUAACUGGCCAAUGUAGUCUGCAUCGACCGGAAAGACAGAACCGUUGGCCCUGAUCUCUCCUGUU